rnacentral:rRNA from 1 species
GACGAACGCUGGCGGCGUGCUUAAUACAUGCAAGUCAACUAAGUCUUUUGCAGCAAUGUAAAAGAUUUGGUGGCGCACGGGUGAGUAUAACGUAGGCAAUCUACCAAAAGGUCUGACACAACCUGCCGAAAGGCAGGCUAAUAUCAGAUGAUACAAAAGCAGGCAUCUGUUUUUUAUCAAAGCUUCGGCGCCUUUUGAUGAGCCUACGCCCCAUUAGANAGUUGGCGGGGUAAUAGCCCACCAAGUCUACGAUGGGUAACUGGUCUGAGAGGAUGAUCAGUCACACUGGAACUGAGACACGGUCCAGACUCCUACGGGAGGCAGCAGUAAGGAAUAUUGCUCAAUGGCCGAAAGGCUGAAGCAGCAACGCCGCGUGAAGGAUGAAA